rnacentral:tRNA from 1 species
GGGCCGGUAGCUCAGCCUGGCUAGAGCACUUGACUUUUAAUCAAGGGGUCGCGAGUUCAAAUCUCGUCCGGCCCA